CGUGCCCGCUGGUCCCCGCCCUCCGACCGCGCACCCAAUUUCGCUUUCGCUUUGCGGCGCGCGUCCAGCCUGGCGGCCGCCCCGCCACCCCCACGGGCACCUGCGACGCCCCCGAGCGCGGCCCGGACCGCGGCCUCACCCCAGCCUCUCCUUGCUCUCCUCCGAGACCCUGUGAGUCGCCUGGAUGUCAAAGAAUUAAGCCUGUCUUGAAUGAACAGAAGUAGCAGGAGUGCAGAGAGAAUUGCUUUCUCUUUUCCUGGUCUCCACCGUGAUUCUCUGAUUUGAAUUUGCAGUGGCAGAGAAAAAGGAGAGUCACAGAAUGGAGAUCAUCAAAGAAAAGCAUCCUAUCUAGUGCCUUUGAUUCUGGCUGAUCAUUCAGAAAGCCUCCCGGGGGGCUACUGGGGGAGUGAGUAUGACAACAGAUGAAGAGGCUUUGAUAUAUUAGUAAGGGAUUUCAUAAGCUGGAGUAUUAUUAGCUUUGGAGAUUGCAAAAGGCUAGAAGUCCAAAUGAACAAUUUUCCAACAUAAUUUGAGCGUUUAUUUCACCGAAGUUAUUGUUCACAACACAAAUCCUCCCUGUUUCUGAAAUCCGAAUACGGUUACGGUUGCAUGUGUUCAUUGCUGUUUUUAUUUUAUUUUUUCCCCUCACUCUAA